UAAGGUGCCGGCACAUCACUUGCAUUGCACGUGAACUGGAGGGCGCAGAAACUCAGCUUGUGCCUCACAGACAGUUUUGAGAAAUAUAGGCUAUAGAAAGCUUAAAAAUGUCUACUUUUAAACGAAAAUAUUCAAAACGAAAAGAAAUAGGCUACUCUCUGAAUAUGUAGGCCUAAUCCAUAUGAAAUGUGCAUUUCUCUCUGGCGUUCAUGGCGAGUCCGCAUCGUCUUUGCAGCGACACAGAAAACACCAUUUUAUUAAUAAACAAUUAAAUGUCUCCUUGCUAUUUUUGACAAAUUCAUAAUCAUUUCUUCAGCCGGUUCUUUGUGGCAAAAUUAUGCAUGCGGUCGUGCGCUUGAGAGCGGAAGUCGCCGUUUCAUCGACGUUAUUGUUGACAUCCUUUGUUUAAGAAGAAUUCCCAUCACUAUUUUUACUUUUCUUAACUGUGUUACCCGAAAAAAAGUCCGAAAUACGUUUCUGCUGCUUAUUGCUAGCCAUGACCAAACAAGUGUGAGGUGGCGGAAGCAUUCCUGAGGAGGCUAGGUUAGUCUUUUAUCAACGAAAUAUUAAAAUAAUUAAUCAUUAGUUUAUAUCUUAUACACUAUAUCUUAAUCCCACAUUAAACACAUUGUUAUGUCUGUUUUUUAUUUUUUUAUUUUUUCACGUUUUUGUGGCCACAAGAAAAAUGUCAUUCCCUCAACAUAACAUCUCGAGGCCAUGACAUAUGGAUGUGUGACCUCGACAAAAUGAUCUCGUGGCCACGACAUAAUAUCACAUUCCCACGAGUUAUUAUGUAGUGGUGGUCAUCGAGGUGCUACAGAGGUAACCUUAGAUAGCAGCUAAAAUGAACAACAUUCAUGUAAACUGUGCCACACCACUGAUCUAUAAUAGAGAGUGUAUCAGAACCAUUUCUUUAAUGAAGCUUAACCACAUUAAAUUAAAAUGUGUCCUUUAAACGACAUAACAUAGCCUACCUCAUUAUGACCGUGGAAAAAAAAUGUAUGCGGCAGCAUGCCUUACCGUAAUACCCCAUAUAUAGCGGACAAAGCAUUACAGACUCCUGCCCUAUGAAGUGAGCACACGCUUUCGACGUGCCAUUUUGAAAACACUAGGAGAGCGCACGUUCCUUUCGCCUGUUUGGAUACUUAAGAAGACGUUUAAUGGCGGGUACUCCGUGCCAAAAUCAAACAUCCGAACGACCGACCGACCGAUCGAACGUCUAUCCGAACGUCUUGAACUUUCAAACGGCUGACCCACGUGGCGACCUGACGUGACGUCAGCGUCUUGAAAUUUGCAGCUUUUUAACCAUACAAGUAUACAAGCUGAUGUGUACAGGCUAUAAAUGGACAUGAUAGGCACUAAAUAUGCCUACAGAUGUUAUACCUAAAAUAAUACUCAACCAUUUCCUGCACUUCCCUGAAUAAGCCUAUUGUAGGCUAAGUGAUGAACU
rnacentral:lncRNA from 1 species